GAUUUUUUAAAUUCUAUGUAAUUAUAUUAAAAUAGUACAUUUACAAUAUAUUUUGAAAAGACGCAACAUUACAUAACACUCUACUUAUAGAAAGACACUUAUUACAUAUAUUGAAAAAAAUUACAAAACUAAUAUGUCUUUUACAGUGAAAAGACAUGACUCUUUACGCUAAUGAAUAUGAAAUAAUGGAAACACAUCUUAGAUGAUCUUGAUUUUCUUUAACUCUCCUUGAUCUAGGUUUUCUCCCUAUUUGAAACCGACAAACACAAUAACUAAAGUACUGCACGUUGUGUUGAUGUUGUAAUGUAACCGUUGGACGCCGUUUCAGAAUACUAUUUCCUUCAUCUUGGCAAUUACCACUCCUCCCAGUUUUAUUUUUGCGGAAACUUGUCUUCAAGUAAUAAGAGACUGAAAUAUAAAUACUUACCACAAUUUUGUAUUGAUCCUUGUUGCCAGAUGGGCCCACCACAAACAAGCACUAUCGUCCUCACAAAAUCAUCAUUGUCAUACCUUAUAUCAGCCAUAUCCUUAAGAGCAAUACCUUGAAUCCAUGAGCAAUACCUUGAAUCCAUAUCCUUAAGAGCAAUACCUUGAAUCCAUAUCCUCAACUCCAAUUUUAGUUUGUGCGCCAAUCUCCUGUAGUCCCCAGGCCAUGGAGGCUUUUCAUAUCGAUUCAUGUUUUAAAAACAGAGUAAAUGAUUCCAUUAAAGAAACCGUUAAAUUGCUUAUUUGUACUGGCUAACAACUGAAAUUAGUCAUAGUUAAGAAAUUAAUAUUUUUCAAAAUCGAUUGAAAUUUGGGGGUCAUUAUAUAUCUCAAUGGUUGACUGGUCAUUAAAGCACAAUAGAAAACGAUGACUCGAAAUUUUAUAAUUUUCAGAUGUUUUCCAAAAUUCAAAAUCAGUGAUUAGUAAAAUGUUUCCCUUAGCAAAAUACUCUUCAAAUUGUUGGAUGUAUUUACUAUUAAUGGAACCAAUAAUUGUUUCAUUCUGCAACAAAAUAAAACUAUAAAAUAUCAACUUUGACUGAAAUUUUUGUAUCGAAACUCGAACAUGCAACAUGUGUUUAUGGAAAGACAAAUCACAAAUACACGAUUUUGUAAUUAUGAGAAACAAACCUUUUCAUUUAGUAAAAAAAUUAAGAC
rnacentral:lncRNA from 1 species